AAUUACUUCCCUGGCUUUUGUCCUGUCUGCUGUAGCCAUGCCUCAUUGAGCUUGCUCAUGAUAGUGGUGAAGCUCAGUUUGCAGGAACAAGGAUGACAGUUACUCAUGGCAAGAACAAUUGUGUGUGGAAUGUUUUACUGAAGGAAUCUUGUUGGACUGCAACUAUCACAUGCUUUUGGCUGACCAGGAAAUUCUCCAACUCAUCGCCUGCCAAAGGACCUAUAGAAAUCAACCUGUUUAUGUCUGAGUUAUGACAAACAUUCCAUCACCAUCAAAUCCUGACGUGGGACUUGAACCCAGAGGUAGAGAUGCUAUUGGCUGCACCACGAGACCUCCAUGCUUUGAAAAAUGUACGACUCUUUUAUUGAAAAAUAUAUGGGAAAUCAUCUAGUAAAGUCCUGCAAUAAAUAAGUUUGAAAAAUAACAUUAUUUGAGCAUGCCGUGUGAGCACGUGGCAUUUUUAAGGCUAAAUGAUAGGCAACUAUUCUGGUUUUCUGUCGCUCAUCAGUUUUAGAAAUCAUGACUCUUUGAUCUUACAUUAUUAAU